rfam:Tupaia chinensis contig105636, whole genome shotgun sequence.
CAGUUUCCUGCUUCAGCAGUGCUUGAGCGGAACCG